AAAUUCACCGGAUUUGGAACCAGGUCGAAACUGGGUUGUGCAUGGGUUGAAAGGAAGGUUUCAUUGAUAGGAGCAUAUUUAUGCGACUUAGUUGGCUUGUUCUUGUGCAUUUAUGUCGUGUUUCCUUAGUUAUUUUAAUGUUUAAAGUCAUUUUCAUGUGUUUUUAGAUUUUAAGGACAAAGUAGGCAAGAAGAUGCAUUUUGGAGCAUUUUGGAGCAAAAUGGAGCUUGGAAUGCAUGUCACAUAUUUGGAACCAAGGUUUGGACGAAAUUGAAGACUUAAAGAGGUUAAGAAUGUGAAGAAUUACUGUGCAAAGGAUCAUGAAUUCAGCCACAAAAGAACAAGAGCAUCCUUGCCGUGCAAUCCACAUUGCAUUCCCUUUGGAUUCCGAUGCAUGCUUAAUCAUCCUUGUCCCCUAAAAUAUUUCUGAUUUCAUGCCCCAAUACACUCAAUUAUCACACUCAAUUGCUGCAUACCUCUUGUUCCCUUCACCCAUCUGAUUUCACACAACUUUCACAACCAUUCCAUGCACCAAUUGAUGCUCCAUCAUCCACAUUUGGGAUCCAAUGCCUUGUGCAACACAUGUUGCUGCACCUUUAACUAAUUUAUGAAACAUUUCACCUCCCAUUUUCAUUUCCAUGCAAUGAACACAAUCAUUCAUGCUCCCUAGCUGAAAUACCACUCCAUUUUACCCUCCAUACUUUGCAUCAUUGCUCCAUUUUCAUCCUUGGACCAUUGCACACCACAAAUUCACCCUCCUUGCUGUGCAUUUCCCCACUGCCUAAUCUGAUUCUCUAGGGUUUUUGGGGCCUAUAUGUACAUGUUUACAACCCUUGGCAAAGGGUUGAACCUCCCAUAUUCAUCAUUCAUGCAGAAAAUUCGUCCAGACUCACCCUAGGCAGCAAAACACCAAAAAAACACCAUUCUAGUGCCCAGAAAACAUAACAGCCACUCCACCUUAUUCCACCAUCUUUGCCGAGUUCUCUACCACCCUCCAACCAUCAAACACUCCUCCACACUCACCCUAAACCUUUCCAUACCAUUCCCCAUCCAUUCUACACCAUAAAACUACCCUAAACCUGUCCAUAACCCAAUCUGCCGCAAGCAAGGGAAAUGAGAAAUCUUGGAUGCACUUGCUGCCAAGUUGGAGCAUUCUAGGUGUUUUCUUUCUUUGGAUUUUAAUGUCUAAUUCAUGUAAUCUUUGUUUUGCUUUAAGUAUGAUUGGCUAAUUUCGUUUUUGGCUAAGGGUGUAUUCAAAACCAUGAUUAUAUAUGCGAAAUGAGUUGAUUACUUCCAGUUAUUGUUACAUAAGUCGUGAAUACAAUGUGCUUAACCAUUUGAUUUAGAACUUAUUCUUGUAUGUUGAUUGAGAGUG
rnacentral:lncRNA from 1 species